rnacentral:rRNA from 1 species
AGAGUUUGAUCCUGGGUCAGAACGAACGCUGGCGGCAGGCUUAACACAUGCAAGUCGAACGAGAAUCCAGAGCUUGCUCUGGAGGAAAGUGGCAGACGGGUGAGUAACGCGUGGGAACAUACCCAGUGGUACGGAAUAACGCAUGGAAACGUGUGCUAAUACCGUAUACGCCCCUUGGUUGAGAGACCUUGGGGGAAAGAUUUAUCGCCGUUGGAUUGGCCCGCGUUGGAUUAGCUUGUUGGUGGGGUAACGGCCUACCAAGGCGACGAUCCAUAGCUGGUCUGAGAGGAUGAUCAGCCACACUGGGACUGAGACACGGCCCAGACUCCUACGGGAGGCAGCAGUGGGGAAUCUUGCACAAUGGGCGCAAGCCUGAUGCAGCCAUGCCGCGUGAGUGAAGAAGGCCCUAGGGUUGUAAAGCUCUUUCAGCGGGGAAGAUAAUGACGGUACCCGCAGAAGAAGCCCCGGCUAACUCCGUGCCAGCAGCCGCGGUAAUACGGAGGGGGCUAGCGUUGUUCGGAAUCACUGGGCGUAAAGCGCGCGUAGGCGGGCUGGUCAGUCAGAGGUGAAAUCCCAAGGCUCAACCUUGGAACUGCCUUUGAUACUGCCAGUCUUGAGUUCGAGAGAGGUGAGUGGAAUUCCUAGUGUAGAGGU